AAGCCAUACAUAAAUCUUGUUUGUUGAUCCAAGUAGACCUACCUCAUGCCCUAAGAUGAGAGGGAAAAAUUCAACCUGAAAGGAAGCCAGUGCCUUUUAAGUGUACUGGCUUCCUAGCACACAACCCAUACGUUUUGGCUACUUCUCAACAAAAGAGCAUGACAAGUUUACUGCAGCUAGAUUCCUACUAGUUCUGUGACACCUGUGCAAUGUUGGCUUUAAUAGCAUGAAGUCAGUCAGAGCUUAGGAAGGCAAACUGUUACACCUGAGAACUGGUUUGUUUGUGGAAGAAACAAAGAAGCCUAAGUGCAUCUUUAGGUCCUCUAGUUAGGCUUGAUUUAGGAGACUUCUUGUCACAAGCUUCCAGAAAUAGGAAGAGGAGGACUUCUAUUAGGAAUAAAUCAGGAUUUUCAGGCUCAGCUUGUUGCAGGAAGUGCUAACCUUUGAAGAACAAGAAUGUGUGGUGGAGUCAGAUUGAUAGGUGUUUUGGCUGUGGAACAAGUUUGGGACUGAUGGUUCGUUGGCAUGAGGCAGAGUCUACCAGCGGCCCCAGAGAGCCAGACGAAUAGGUCUGCAAAUUUCAGAUGCCAAAUUGCAGUUAACUAUGCUUCAGCUGAACAAAUUGCUAUUCUAAUCCCUCUACUAGCGUGAGCUGAAGUACUUUACUUUGGUUCCCAAAAACAAUUUGAACAUCUCUGUCAGAACAAAAACUUCAAUACCACAUAAAAAGGCUGACUGAAGAAGAACCUAUCAGAA
rnacentral:lncRNA from 1 species